rnacentral:ncRNA from 1 species
AAUCUUCGGGGCAGGGUGAAAAUCCCUACCGGCGGUAAAAGUCCGCAAGCCUUACGGCAUGAAUCGGUGCAAUUCCGAUACCGACGGUUAAAGUCCGGACGAGAGAAGAUA